AUGCAAACAGAACUUCCGAGACCUCACAGAGAAAUUCCUGACAUCCAAAGCUACUGCCUACUCCCUGGCCAAUCACCUGCAGAAAUACAGAUACAUGAUCCCUUAAUUCAGGCUCAGGCUAAAGAACUGACCCACUUACAACAGAGGAUACAGGAAGGGGGAGGUGUCUGCUACCUUUUCACCCAGCAUGUGAAGAACACAGUCAAGUCUUUGAGGCCUUCUCAGGAACACUGGCAUUGCCUACUACCAGAGACAGAGAUUCUGUGAGCAAAUGGUACAAGGAAGUCAGCUGACAGAGAUCCUUGUCAGAAAACUGGCUACAGGUAACUUGGCUACAGGCUCUGAAGACCCUUAGCUCCUCCCAAGUGCCCCAAAGAGGGGAGAAAAAAUGCAAAGUUAUCUUUAUUGUA